GAUGAACGCUGGCGGCGUGCCUAAUACAUGCAAGUCGAGCGAACGGACGAGAAGCUUGCUUCUCUGAUGUUAGCGGCGGACGGGUGAGUAACACGUGGAUAACCUACCUAUAAGACUGGGAUAACUUCGGGAAACCGGAGCUAAUACCGGAUAAUAUUUUGAACCGCAUGGUUCAAAAGUGAAAGACGGUCUUGCUGUCACUUAUAGAUGGAUCCGCGCUGCAUUAGCUAGUUGGUAAGGUAACGGCUUACCAAGGCAACGAUGCAUAGCCGACCUGAGAGGGUGAUCGGCCACACUGGAACUGAGACACGGUCCAGACUCCUACGGGAGGCAGCAGUAGGGAAUCUUCCGCAAUGGGCGAAGGCCUGACGGAGCAACGCCGCGUGAGUGAUAAAGGUCUUCGGAUCGUAAAACUCUGUUAUUAGGGAAGAACAUAUGUGUAAGUAACUGUGCACAUCUUGACGGUACCUAAUCAGAAAGCCACGGCUAACUACGUG
rnacentral:rRNA from 1 species